CGCACGGGUGCGUAACGCGUGGAAUCUGCCCUUAGGUUCGGAAUAACUCAGGGAAACUUGAGCUAAUACCGGAUGAUGUCUUCGGACCAAAGAUUUAUCGCCUAGGGAUGAGCCCGCGUAGGAUUAGCUUGUUGGUGAGGUAAAGGCUCACCAAGGCGACGAUCCUUAGCUGGUCUGAGAGGAUGAUCAGCCACACUGGGACUGAGACACGGCCCAGACUCCUACGGGAGGCAGCAGUGGGGAAUAUUGGACAAUGGGCGAAAGCCUGAUCCAGCAAUGCCGCGUGAGUGAUGAAGGCCCUAGGGUUGUAAAGCUCUUUUACCCGGGAUGAUAAUGACAGUACCGGGAGAAUAAGCCCCGGCUAACUCCGUGCCAGCAGCCGCGGUAAUACGGAGGGGGCUAGCGUUGUUCGGAAUUACUGGGCGUAAAGCGUACGUAGGCGGUGAUUCAAGUCAGAGGUGAAAGCCCGGAGCUCAACUCCGGAACUGCCUUUGAAACUAGAUCGCUUGAACGUCGGAGAGGUGAGUGGAAUUCCGAGUGUAGAGGUGAAAUUCGUAGAUAUUCGGAAGACACCAGUGGCGAAGGCGGCUCACUGGACGA
rnacentral:rRNA from 1 species